CCAGUUUUUGUCCGCCAUAAUUGAGGAUGUUAAAGACGUCAGGUCGCUGGGUGGUCAACUCCUGUCCUAUGAUGAGGCUGAGGCCGUGGAAGCCGUACUGGCUGCGAAGAGUCUGCCGUUGCUGCAGGCGGCUGUUUAAGACCUUCCCCACCAGUGACUCCGCCAAGGGCAAGCCCCCCAGAGGGAGGUUCUUUAAACGGAAACACCACGUUGAGCCUACUCCAGCACCACCUCCAACUCCCACAGGGGGCUCCCCGGCAGUAUCCAGAGUCACCAUCGAUGAGGAGGUGCCCCAGGUUGGGACUGGGGCUGACUCUUUGGGGAAGAUCUGACAAGUGGAGUGGAGAAAAUGGAAAGAGCUGAGGU